rnacentral:rRNA from 1 species
UACGUAGGGUGCGAGCGUUAAUCGGAAUUACUGGGCGUAAAGCGUGCGCAGGCGGUUGUGCAAGACAGAUGUGAAAUCCCCGGGCUUAACCUGGGAACUGCAUUUGUGACUGCACGGCUAGAGUGUGUCAGAGGGGGGUAGAAUUCCACGUGUAGCAGUGAAAUGCGUAGAUAUGUGGAGGAACACCGAUGGCGAAGGCAGCCCCCUGGGUCAAGAUUGACGCUCAUGCACGAAAGCGUGGGGAUCAAACAGG